rnacentral:rRNA from 1 species
UACGGGGGGAGCAAGCGUUGUUCGGAAUUUACUGGGCGUAAAGGGCGCGUAGGCGGCCACCGCAAGUCGGUUGUGAAAUCUCUGGGCUUAACCCAGAAAGGUCAACCGAUACUGCGGGGCUAGAGUGCAGAAGGGGCAACUGGAAUUCUCGGUGUAGCGGUGAAAUGCGUAGAUAUCGAGAGGAACACCUGCGGCGAAGGCGGGUUGCUGGGCUGACACUGACGCUGAAGCGCGAAAGCUAGGGGAGCGAACGGG